AUUAACCUGCAUAAAAAAUGACAAUGUCUGCAUAGUUUUUCUUCAAAGUGUACUUUCAUUGUACUUGAAAAUUGCAGUUGUGAAGUAUUUGUCCACUUAAACAUUUACAUCUGACCGUUAACAAUAAAAAUUCUGUGCAGAGCUAUCAUAUUUGUAGAAUUUGAUGUUGAAUAUUCGGUCACUGAAUACUUCUCUCUUUCUCUCGUUGUGUAUUGAGUGUUGAUGCUGCAAAAGAAGACGGAUCUUUUGCUAGGCUGGUUAAUGAUGACCACAAGCACCCAAAUGGCAGAAUGCAGAAGACUGAAGUGGAUGGAAGCCCACAUCUUGGUCUGUUUGCUUUAACAGACUUUAAAGAAGGUGAUGAAAUUACCUCCAAUUACGGAGGAGGAGACUGGCCUUGGGGUAGCAAGGUAAAACAUCUACUCUGAAAAAGAGGAAGGCUCGGGAAGGAAAUGAGGUCCAUGCAGUGGAGAGACAUAUGAAGACCUUCAUCAUGUCAUGUCGUGACCCAGGGAAGUUGGUCUGUGAAAACUGCAUUAGAUCUGAGUCUUUAUAUCUUAAAGAUAGAGACUGGCAAAGUAUCAAAUUCUACGUCUAUAACUGCACUGUAGCUUACAAAAGAGAUCUAAACAAAGAUUAAUUACCACUUUGAUAGUAACACUUUACAUCUAUAUUACAGAUACUGUACAUCAUAACAUCUGUAGUAAUGCUUUAAUAAUAAGUUACAUUACACCUCUAGCCUUUUACUUUGUAAUGAACCACUCAGCAUUUACUUCAUAAUAAACUAAUCAGGAACAAAUCAGGCAUUUAAAAUAUCCAUUAGAAUCUUUACCUACACCGUUAUAUUGAAUUAGAUCAAAUUGGUUUGGGCCGCCUUCUUCCAGUGGGUCCUUAUGCAGGUGACUGACAAGUUCAUGAGUAAGCCUAUUGGGCAAUAAAAGCUUCAGUGUGCUACCCAUUUACAUGUUUAGACUGCCUGGAAUCAAAAUUAGCUACCUCAACAUACAUUAUUAAGUUGUUACUGUCACUUUUUAGCUUAGUCAGUUAAGUGGAUAUAGAAUAAAGAAAAAAAUUGUGUUUAUGACAUUUGGUUGUGUGUCUGUGUUUGGCUAGUAUCUUUAUUUUUCUGAAUAUGUUUAACUUUGAGCUGGCUAUAUGUAGUAGCAGAAGUGUUAUGUCAAACUUAAAUGAGUCCAAGUUCAUUCAUGGCACAUGUGAGCUUAGUAGUUCUGCACUUUAAUGGGCAAAUAUUUGUUGACGUUUACAGUAAAGAAGCUCAAGACUCAAGUUGUCUUUAUAAUGUUGAAUAGACAGGGUUUUUUCAUCUGACUGACAAUUUUUCACUUGAUUAGAGAUCCAGACCAAUAAACAAAUCCUUCAUGUAGCUAAAAUAUCAAAAGGAUGAGUUUCUUUGUCAUUUUGACUUGCCAAAAUGACUGGGGAUAGUGUUAAUUUGUGAUUCAUGCCUGUGAUAAAUAAGUGAGG